GUUUCCUGUUUUCUUCAAAGUAUUUACAUUCUAAUAUAUAAUGCAUUUCAUCACCAAUAUCAUUUUUAUUACAUAGAAGACAAAUUCUAUUGUUUCUAGCUAUAUUGUUCCAUCUACCCUGUUCAAUAGGGAGCUUGUGAUUUGUGGUCCUAAAUCUACACAAAUCAAUAGACAAUUUGUUCCCAAGAAUUUCAAAAUAACCUUCUUUUCCAAAAAAAUCUUUAAAAAGUUUGUAAUUUAUUGCUUUUGGCGAGUUUUCAAGUAAAGAAUGCCAGACUUGUACAUACUGAUCUUUAAGUCUAAGUUUGAUGAAUGAAACUAACCACUUACAAUUUAUAAAAGAUUGCGUUUCCCAUACAUUUGGGAUACCACAUUCGUUCAGAAUAGUCUUUAUUCUGUUUAACCAUGAAAAAUUCACAUUGUCAUUAAUAGACAUGUGAUAACACAAUUUAUAUAAAAUAUAUGAUAGUUUUGUCUCUUUACCAGAGUUUAAUUUCCCCCAAAAUGAAAUCAAUCUAGUUUUUAUGUCCAAGUCUAUAGGAUAUCUCCCAAGCUCCCCAUAAAUCAUAUAAGAGGGUGUAGAUGUUUUCAGACUUAAUAACAAUUUACAAAAUUUUAGAUGUACCCUUUCAAUCAUGUCGUUAUUGCCAAUACCCCAUACUUCACAACCGUACAGUAGUAUUGGCUUUACCAUUUUAUCAAAUAAAUCCAGCUGACUACAUAUAGAAAGAUUAUGUAGUCGACCUAGUCUUAACACUUCGUACAGAGCCUUGGUAGCUUUUUCUACAUUAAACUGUUUUGUUUUAUUAAAAUUGCCUGUUCUUGUUAGAACUAUUCCUAAGUAGUUAAAUUCAUCAACAAUAUCAAGUUUUUUGCCAUUAAAUAAAAAUUGAAAAUCACAUGAUGGUCGUCUCCUUGAAAAAACCACGACCUUUGUUUUAUCAACAUUAACUUUUAGCUUCCAUACAUCUGUGUAAUCUUGGAAACAAUCUAAAAG
rnacentral:lncRNA from 1 species